rnacentral:rRNA from 1 species
GACGAACGCUGGCGGCGUGCUUAACACAUGCAAGUCGAACGGAAAGGCCCUGCUUUUGUGGGGUGCUCGAGUGGCGAACGGGUGAGUAACACGUGAGUAACCUGCCCUUGACUUUGGGAUAACUUCAGGAAACUGGGGCUAAUACCGGAUAGGAGCUCCUGCUGCAUGGUGGGGGUUGGAAAGUUUCGGCGGUUGGGGAUGGACUCGCGGCUUAUCAGCUUGUUGGUGGGGUAGUGGCCUACCAAGGCUUUGACGGGUAGCCGGCCUGAGAGGGUGACCGGCCACAUUGGGGCUGAGAUACGGCCCAGACUCCUACGGGAGGCAGCAGUGGGGAAUAUUGCACAAUGGGCGGAAGCCUGAUGCAGCAACGCCGCGUGCGGGAUGACGGCCUUCGGGUUGUAAACCGCUUUCGCCUGUGACGAAGCGUGAGUGACGGUAAUGGGUAAAGAAGCACCGGCUAACUACGUG